CAGUCAUACCAACGGGAAAUCAACCUUUUGAGUUUGUUCUUGUGGGUUUCGAGGAGUUUAAAAGCCUUCUGAUUUGCUAGGAUUGGGCUCUUUURGUGUACUUUCUCGUACGGUUAGUCAACAUCGGUUUUGAAUGUCAUAAAAUGACUGGAGGAAUGUGGCUUCGAUCUCGUAUCGAAGUGUUAUAACCUUUGGUAGAUGUGAUGUUCGAGACCGAGGAUUGCAACGGAUACCUUUCUGGGCUAUUCGUCUGAUCUCUGAUACGUUGCCUUGAUGUCGAAAGCGUGCUUAUGAUGUUAGGGUAUUACGGUCAAAAGGUUAGAACGGAUUAAA
rnacentral:rRNA from 1 species